rnacentral:rRNA from 1 species
UACGUAGGGUGCAAGCGUUGUCCGGAAUUAUUGGGCGUAAAGAGCUCGUAGGCGGUCUGUCGCGUCGGCUGGGAAAUCCCGAGGCUCAACCUCGGGUCUGCAGUCGAUACGGGCAAACUAGAGUAUUGCAGGGGAGACUGGAAUUCCUGGUGUAGCGGUGAAAUGCGCAGAUAUCAGGAGGAACACCGGUGGCGAAGGCGGGUCUCUGGGCAAUAACUGACGCUGAGGAGCGAAAGCGUGGGGAGCGAACAGG